rnacentral:rRNA from 1 species
ACACGACUACAUUAGAUACCCGCGUAGUCCUAGCCGUAAACGAUACUCGCUAGGUGUCGGCCACGGUGCGACCGUUGUCGGUGCCGAAGGGAAACCGUGAAACGUGCCGCCGUGGGAAGUACGGUCGCAAGGCUGAAACUUAAAGGAAUUGGCGGGGAGCACCACAACGGGUGGAGCCUGCGGUUUAAUUGGAUUCAACGCCGGACAUCUCACCAGGGCGACAGCAGAGUGAUGGCCAGGUUGAUGACCUUGCUUGACAAGCUG